rnacentral:rRNA from 1 species
AUGAACGCUAGCUACAGGCUUAACACAUGCAAGUCGAGGGGCAUCAGGAAGAAAGCUUGCUUUCUUUGCUGGCGACCGGCGCACGGGUGAGUAACACGUAUCCAACCUGCCCUUUACUCGGGGAUAGCCUUUCGAAAGAAAGAUUAAUACCCGAUGGCAUAAUGAUUCCGCAUGGUUUCAUUAUUAAAGGAUUCCGGUAAAGGAUGGGGAUGCGUUCCAUUAGGUUGUUGGUGAGGUAACGGCUCACCAAGCCUUCGAUGGAUAGGGGUUCUGAGAGGAAGGUCCCCCACAUUGGAACUGAGACACGGUCCAAACUCCUACGGGAGGCAGCAGUGAGGAAUAUUGGUCAAUGGGCGGUAGCCUGAACCAGCCAAGUAGCGUGAAGGAUGAAGGCUCUAUGGGUCGUAAACUUCUUUUAUAUAAGAAUAAAGUGCAGUAUGUAUACUGUUUUGUAUGUAUUAUAUGAAUAAGGAUCGGCUAACUCCGUGCCAGCAGCCGCGGUAAUACGGAGGAUCCGAGCGUUAUCCGGAUUUAUUGGGUUUAAAGGGAGCGUAGGUGGACUGGUAAGUCAGUUGUGAAAGUUUGCGGCUCAACCGUAAAAUUGCAGUUGAUACUGUCAGUCUUGAGUACAGUAGAGGUGGGCGGAAUUCGUGGUGUAGCGGUGAAAUGCUUAGAUAUCACGAAGAACUCCGAUUGCGAAGGCAGCUCACUGGACUGCAACUGACACUGAUGCUCGAAAGUGUGGGUAUCAAACAGGAUUAGAUACCCUGGUAGUCCACACAGUAAACGAUGAAUACUCGCUGUUUGCGAUAUACAGUAAGCGGCCAAGCGAAAGCAUUAAGUAUUCCACCUGGGGAGUACGCCGGCAACGGUGAAACUCAAAGGAAUUGACGGGGGCCCGCACAAGCGGAGGAACAUGUGGUUUAAUUCGAUGAUACGCGAGGAACCUUACCCGGGCUUAAAUUGCAGUGGAAUGAUGUGGAAACAUGUCAGUGAGCAAUCACCGCUGUGAAGGUGCUGCAUGGUUGUCGUCAGCUCGUGCCGUGAGGUGUCGGCUUAAGUGCCAUAACGAGCGCAACCCUUAUCUUCAGUUACUAACAGGUCAUGCUGAGGACUCUGGAGAGACUGCCGUCGUAAGAUGUGAGGAAGGUGGGGAUGACGUCAAAUCAGCACGGCCCUUACGUCCGGGGCUACACACGUGUUACAAUGGGGGGUACAGAAGGCAGCUAGCGGGUGACCGUAUGCUAAUCCCAAAAUCCUCUCUCAGUUCGGAUCGAAGUCUGCAACCCGACUUCGUGAAGCUGGAUUCGCUAGUAAUCGCGCAUCAGCCACGGCGCGGUGAAUACGUUCCCGGGCCUUGUACACACCGCCCGUCAAGCCAUGGGAGCCGGGGGUACCUGAAGUACGUAACCGCAAGGAUCGUCCUAGGGUAAAACUGGUGACUGGGGCU